GGCAGACGGGUGAGUAACGCGUGGGAACGUACCUUUUGGUUCGGAACAACCCAGGAAACUUGGGCUAAUACCGGAUAAGCCCUUACGGGGAAAGAUUUAUCGCCGAAAGAUCGGCCCGCGUCUGAUUAGCUAGUUGGUGAGGUAACGGCUCACCAAGGCGACGAUCAGUAGCUGGUCUGAGAGGAUGAUCAGCCACAUUGGGACCGAGACACGGCCCAAACUCCUACGGGAGGCAGCAGUGGGGAAUAUUGGACAAUGGGCGCAAGCCUGAUCCAGCCAUGCCGCGUGAGUGAUGAAGGCCCUAGGGUUGUAAAGCUCUUUUGUGCGGGAAGAUAAUGACGGUACCGCAAGAAUAAGCCCCGGCUAACUUCGUGCCAGCCGCCGCGG
rnacentral:rRNA from 1 species